rnacentral:rRNA from 1 species
CCUACGGGAGGCAGCAGUGGGGGAUAUUGCACAAUGGGGGGAACCCUGAUGCAGCGACGCCGCGUGGGUGAAGGAGUGCUUCGGCAUGUAAAGCCCUAUCGGCAGGGAAGAAGCAAGACGGUACCUGACUAAGAAGCCCCGGCUAACUACGUGCCAGCAGCCGCGGUACUACGUAGGGGGCGAGCGUUAUCCGGAUUCACUGGGUGUAAAGGGAGCGUAGACGGCCAUGCAAGCCAGGGGUGAAAGCCCGGGGCCCAACCCCGGGACUGCCCUUGGACAUGCAUGGCUGGAGUGCGGGAGGGGCAGGCGGAAUUCCUGGUGUAGCGGUGAAAUGCGUAGAUAUCAGGAGGAACACCGGCGGCGAAGGCGGCCUGCUGGACCGCGACUGACGUUGAGGCUCGAAAGCGUGGGGAGCGAACAGGAUUAGAUACCCUGGUAGUC